rnacentral:tRNA from 1 species
GGUGGCUCAGUGGUAGAGUGCUUGCCUUGCAUGCAUGAAACCCUGUGUUAGAUUCCUCAGCACCA